UCUCGCCUCACUCCUAAACGGCGUUGAACUCUCUGAAGUUCUGAUUUUCUUUUUAGAUCUGCUCUCUGGUCGUGUUUUUCUUUGUAGAUCUGGUCACACUCCGACGAGUUAGAAUUCUCCACCACUCCAUGCUGCCGUAAAAGAAUAAGAAACCCUAGAAGAUCCGCAAUUAGCUGUUUUCGAGAAGCAAGGAUGGCUUUCUGCUGGGAUCUAUGUCGGUUUCCAUGGACCAGAUCUGCUUGUGAACGAGCCCAACGAGAGUCUUCUCCUCUGCUGUUUCAGGAGAGAAACCCGGCGACAAUGAUUCUUUCUCCUUCUGUUUUUCUCUUUUUGCAUUCUGCUCUGGUCUAAAAAGUCUUCUUCUUUCGUUGCUUGCAUGUUUAGAAUCUGAAGCUUAAUUAUUAGUAUCUUUGUAGUUACCGAUUCUCUCUUCUAAAAAGUAUUCUUCUUUUUUCUCUAUUCUCUGAUGCAUAUUCUUUGCUCUUUGUAUUUUGGUUUUUCUUUUGCUGGGAUUUGACGAUUCUGGGUUUAUUCACUAUUUUCUUUUGUUGUGUGGGUUUUCUUUUUGCAGAUGGAAAGAAGUUUUUCUAGAAAAAGACUGGAUAUCUUUGGUUGCAGUUAUCAGAUGCUUGGUUUAGUUUUGUGUGAUCUUGCUUCAGAUGUUUGGUUUUGUUUCCUGUGAUGUGAUGUGCUAAAAUGAUUCUCUUGUCGUUGGGUUUUGGAAUAAUGCUACCUACUUUAAAUAAUUGAAUUAGUGCGGUGUUACUUUACAUAAUUGCUAAAAAACGGAAGAAAAAAAUGUUGUUUAGAUAAGUAGGGGUUAGUAUAGUGGCAAUCAUGAUUAAUUCUCAAAUAAAUCAUUGUCGGUGGGUUUUAUUGAUGACAUAAUUAUCUUCAUUGAUGAAGUGAACAUGUUGAUCGAUGCAGGAUGAAGCUGAAGCCAAACCCAUCUGAAACCGAACCAGAGCAAGAAACUAAACAAGAACGAAGCCAAACCGAACCAGAGCAAAAAAAAAGAGGAAACCUUUGUACCGAAGGAAGCUUCAAGCCUGGACCUGAUGUUAGUCAUGACCAGUGUAUGAAGAAAAUAUAGUUUUGAAUCAUUUGUAAUGGUCAAAAGUGUAAUGGUCAUCCUAGUUUUGUGGUCAUCAGUUGUAAUGGUCAUGAACUUGAUUUGUAUAUAGUUUAAAUGUAAUGGUGAUACUAUUUUAUACAGAAUGUUUCAUUUUUCUUGUUAUAGUCAUUAAGCAGAAUCUUUGAAUCAAAACAAAAUGAUUGUCAGUCA
rnacentral:lncRNA from 1 species